AGUGAACGCUGGCGGUAGGCCUAACACAUGCAAGUCGAACGGCAGCACAGUAAGAGCUUGCUCUUACGGGUGGCGAGUGGCGGACGGGUGAGGAAUACAUCGGAAUCUACUUUUUCGUGGGGGAUAACGUAGGGAAACUUACGCUAAUACCGCAUACGACCUACGGGUGAAAGCAGGGGAUCUUCGGACCUUGCGCGAUUGAAUGAGCCGAUGUCGGAUUAGCUAGUUGGCGGGGUAAAGGCCCACCAAGGCGACGAUCCGUAGCUGGUCUGAGAGGAUGAUCAGCCACACUGGAACUGAGACACGGUCCAGACUCCUACGGGAGGCAGCAGUGGGGAAUAUUGGGCAAUGGGCGCAAGCCUGAUCCAGCCAUACCGCGUGGGUGAAGAAGGUCUUCGGGUUGUAAAGCCCUUUUGUUGGGAAAGAAAAGCAGCAGGUUAAUACCCCGCUGUUCUGACGGUACCCAAAGAAUAAGCACCGGCUAACUUCGUG
rnacentral:rRNA from 1 species